rnacentral:lncRNA from 1 species
AAGUAGAAAACUCCAGCCAGCCCGUCCCUAAUUUUAUAAAGGGACCUCCUCAUAUAGUUGUUGACUUAUAUCUUCAUAAGGAUAGAAAUGCACUUACCAUGCCCCUAAUUUAAAUCAUAAUUUCUGAUUUUCCUUUGCCCUAGCUAUAUUUCCGUAUCCUACAUCGCACCCAGCACGAUGCCUAGCACCCAGCAGAUGUUCAACUACUAUUCUUGAAAGUAUAAAUGCAUUUCACCCAUUUUUACCUUCAUCCCACUGCUUCACUUGCAAAAUAAAGCAUUUGGCACUAUUACCCUUCUCAGAUAAUACGUUAACGUGAGACUGGAGAACGGGAAGGAAGAGGAGAAAAAAAGGAGGGAAAAAAAGAUAAUAGAAGAUGAGAGAAUGGAUGGCAGCUGAGGAAACGGGAGAGAGGCAAGAGGUUCCAGAUUCCAGGCAGCCUCCCUCUUGCCUCCUGAUUCCUCUCUCAUCUCAACUUCCCAAAACUAAAGCCUGA